rnacentral:rRNA from 1 species
AACGCGAAGAACUUACCUGGCCUUGACACCCCCGAGAACUUAUUUGAUAUGGAUGGUGCCUUCGGGAACUCGAACACAGGUGCUGCAUGGCUGUCGUCAGCUCGUGUCGUGAGAUGUUGGGUUAAGUCCCGCAACGAGCGCAACCCUUGUCCUUAGUUGCCAGCACGUAAUGGUGGGAACUCUAAGGAGACCGCCGGUGACAAACCGGAGGAAGGUGGGGAUGACGUCAAGUCAUCAUGGUCCUUACGGCCAGCGCUACACACGUACUACAAUGGUAGGGACAGAGGGCUGCAAGCCGGCGACGGUAAGCCAAUCCCAGAAACCCUAUCUCAGUCCGGAUUGGAGUCUGC